GAUGAACGCUGGCGGCGUGCUUAAUACAUGCAAGUCGAACGGAAAGGCGCGGCUUUUGUGGGGUUCUCGAGUGGCGAACGGGUGUGAAAAACGUGAGUAAAAUGCACUUGUCUGUGUGAGAACUUCAGGAGACUGGGGCGAAUACAGGAUAUGAGCUCUUGCAGCAUGUGGGUGGUAGGAAAGUGUCGGCGGUUGGGGAUAGUCUGGCUGGUUACGAGCUGGUUUGGGUGGUAGUGACGUUCAAGGCUUUUGACGGAUAGCCCGCCUGAGAGGGUGACCGGCCACAUUGGGACUGCGGUACGGACCAGACUCCUACGGGAGGCAGCAGUGGGGAACAUUGCACAAUGGGCGGGAGUCUGAUGCAGCGGCGCUGCGUGCGGGAUGACCGGCUAUGGGUUGUAAACAGCUUUCGCCUGUGACGAAGCGUGCGUGACGGUAAUGGGUCAGGAAGCACCGGCUAACUACGUG
rnacentral:rRNA from 1 species